GAUGAAGAACGUAGCGAAAUGCGAUAAGUAAUGUGAAUUGCAGAAUUCAGUGAAUCAUCGAAUCUUUGAACGCACAUUGCGCCCGCCAGUAUUCUGGCGGGCAUGCCUGUUCAAGCGUCAUUACAACCCUCAGGCCCCCGGGCCUGGCGUUGGGGAUCGGCGGAGCCCCCCGUGGGCACACGCCGUCCCCCAAAUACAGUGGCGGUCCCGCCGCAGCUUCCAUCGCGUAGUAGCUAACACCUCGCGACUGGAGAGCGGCGCGGCCACGCCGUAAAACACCCAACUCUUCUGAAGUUGACCUCGAAUCAGGUAGGAAUACCCGCUGAACUUAAGCAUAUCAAUAAGCGGAGGA
rnacentral:misc_RNA from 1 species